rnacentral:rRNA from 1 species
AGCGAACGCUGGCGGCAGGCCUGACACAUGCAAGUCGAACGAAGUCUUCGGACUUAGUGGCGGACGGGUGAGUAACACGUGGGAACGUGCCUUUAGGUUCGGAAUAACGCAGGGAAACUUGUGCUAAUACCGAAUGUGCCCUUCGGGGGAAAGAUUUAUCGCCUUUAGAGCGGCCCGCGUCUGAUUAGCUAGUUGGUGGGGUAAUGGCCCACCAAGGCUACGAUCAGUAGCUGGUCUGAGAGGAUGACCAGCCACAUUGGGACUGAGACACGGCCCAAACUCCUACGGGAGGCAGCAGUGGGGAAUCUUGCGCAAUGGGCGAAAGCCUGACGCAGCCAUGCCGCGUGGAUGAUGAAGGUCUUAGGAUUGUAAAAUCCUUUCACCGGUGAAGAUAAUGACUGUAGCCGGAGAAGAAGCCCCGGCUAACUUCGUGCCAGCAGCCGCCGUAACAC